rnacentral:rRNA from 1 species
ACAGUCACUGACAUUAGAUACCCGGGUAGUCCAGGGUGUAAACGCUGCAGACUUGGUGUUGGAGGCCCUUUGGGGGCAUUCAGUGCCGGAGAGAAGUUGUUAAGUCUGCUACUUGGGGAGUACGUCCGCAAGGAUGAAACUUAAAGGAAUUGGCGGGGGAGCACCGCAACGGGAGGAGCGUGCGGUUUAAUUGGAUUCAACACCGUAAAACUCACCAGGGAAGACUGUUACAUGAAGGCCGAGAUGAAGACUCUGCUAGAUUUUCAG